CCCCCAGAAGAAUCACUGCGUAGAGAUAAAGACAGUUUUAAAUGAUGUUACUUUUUUUCAAAUGGAGAAAGACAUCAAUUAAAUCUGUGCUUAUCUCUACAAGCAAGCCAUUGAGAGCCGG
rnacentral:precursor_RNA from 8 species